rnacentral:rRNA from 1 species
GCAAGUCGAGCGAAUCUGAGGGAGCUUGCUCCCGAAGAUUAGCGGCGGACGGGUGAGUAACACGUGGGUAACCUGCCUGUAAGAUUGGGAUAACUCCGGGAAACCGGAGCUAAUACCGGAUAAUAUUUCGAACUGCAUGGUUCGAAGUUGAAAGACGGCUUCGGCUGUCACUUACAGAUGGACCCGCGGCGCAUCAGCUAGUUGGUGAGGUAACGGCUCACCAAGGCAACGAUGCGUAGCCGACCUGAGAGGGUGAUCGGCCACACUGGGACUGAGACACGGCCCAGACUCCUACGGGAGGCAGCAGUAGGGAAUCUUCCGCAAUGGACGAAAGUCUGACGGAGCAACGCCGCGUGAACGAUGAAGGCCUUCGGGUCGUAAAGUUCUGUUGUUAGGGAAGAACAAGUACCAGAGUAACUGCUGGUACCUUGACGGUACCUAACCAGAAAGCCACGGCUAACUACGUGCCAGCAGCCGCGGUAAUACGUAGGUGGCAAGCGUUGUCCGGAAUUAUUGGGCGUAAAGCGCGCGCAGGCGGUUUCUUAAGUCUGAUGUGAAAGCCCACGGCUCAACCGUGGAGGGUCAUUGGAAACUGGGAAACUUGAGUGCAGAAGAGGAGAGUGGAAUUCCACGUGUAGCGGUGAAAUGCGUAGAGAUGUGGAGGAACACCAGUGGCGAAGGCGACUCUCUGGUCUGUAACUGACGCUGAGGCGCGAAAGCGUGGGGAGCGAACAGGAUUAGAUACCCUGGUAGUCCACGCCGUAAACGAUGAGUGCUAAGUGUUAGAGGGUUUCCGCCCUUUAGUGCUGCAGCAAACGCAUUA